GUCUUGAUAGGAUUCGAUGCAUUCUAGGUGCUGAUUUUUAAAGAAACUCUGACCACCCUCUUUUCAGUACGGGCUUUAGACUUGGUUUCCCUCUAACAUACAAUGGAUCCGAUCUACUAGAGGUAUUGCGACUCUGGUAGAUCCUCGAUGAACUCACAAUUGGUCAGAAAUUGUCUAAAUAAGAAGAAAAAGAGAAAAGAUA
rnacentral:lncRNA from 1 species